ACCGUCUUCACUCCUCCACCUGGAGGUUGCUCAGGGACACUCACCCCCACGCCUUACCCCCGAGGGGCUGGGAGCAGAAAAGCAGCCCCCGACCCGGGCUGGGGGGAGGGGAGGAAGGCUGGGCAUUGAGCCCGGGGGUGGGGCGGCAGGGAGAUGAGGAGACAGAGGGACAGAGGCAGAGAGAGAGAGAGAGACAAGGACCGAGAGAGGGGAAGAGAAAGAGAGACACACACGGAGCCGGAUUCAGGCUGAGAGAGGCAGAGACCAGAGCAGGGUGGGAUCAACUCCGCAGCGCCAUUCACAUGCCAGAGCUCCCCGUGGGGUCAGGCUGAAGCUGGACGCCGCUGAGACACAUCCUAGCUUAGCCCUGGCCCAGGCCCUGCCCUGCAUCGCUCUCUCCUUUUCUCUGCAAGCAUUCCUCAGUGAGUCACCUGCAUUCCAGCCUUCGUUUCAGGCUCUGCUGGGCACCCGGGCCUGAGACACAGCCCCAGGGACGCCUCCCCGGCUCCCCUUCUGGUCUCAUCUCCAGGGAGCUCUCCUCGCAGGCCUCAUUGUGGCCGUUGUUUGACACUUGCUCAGAUGAUUAUGCGUCUGAGGUCUGUCCUCUACCCCAGAAUACAAGGCAGGGAUCAUAUCGACUGCUCCUGGCUGCGUCCCCAGUGCCCAACACAACGCUUAGCACAGUAGGUGGUCAAUAAAUACUUGUUGAAUGACUGAAUGAAUAAUGGCUGGGCGAAUUGGAGGUUGUCGGGGCUGGGCAUCACUGAGGCCCCAGGUUCUUUCCAUCUGGUGAUUCUGCCAUCUCCUCCCAGCCUAGCUCCUCAUAGCUCCAUGACAGCUGCCAAAGCUCCUGCCAUCUCUUCCUUACACAGCCAUGGCCAAGGCAAGAAAAGGCCCUCAAGUGUCCCCUUAGGAAGAAACUGUUCCCAGAAGUCCCUUGGCAGACUUCCUCACCUCGCUGCCAUAGUCGCAUUCCUUGUCCAGCCUCAGCCAAUCGCUGCGAGGGGAGGGAGAGGGUGACGUUUGACUUGGGCCAAUCAGCAUUCGCCCUCAGGGUGCCGUGGGUGGAGUCUGCCCUCCCCAGUAAGAGGGGAUCCAGCUGGGGCCAGGGUUGUGGACCCCUGUGCCGGCGUUCCCGGCAUCCCUGAGGCUGUGGACCCCCACCUGCCUUCCCUCCUGGGGGGGGGGUCUUUGGGUGGCGGCUGUGGGAAGGGAGGUGGGGCUGCGUGAGGGUUUCGAGCACAGAAGGUGGCCAGACCCCUUCACCUCAGUAAAUAUUUAUAGAGCCAGGAGCAGAGAGGAGGUAGGCGGCCGAGGGUGUGUGUGCGGAAAAGGGGCCUGGGCCAGAGAUCCAAGGGAGAGACAGAGACGCAGCGGAGAGGCCGAGAGACGCGGAGGGAAAGAGGGAGGAGGGAGACAGGGACGGGGAGAGACAGACAUUUUGCCAGGAAGGCCUUGCGUCAGUGCCUUGAACAGUCAGGCCCGUCAUGGUGGGAGUGACGUCCCUGUCCCCUUCUCUCUGGCUUGGCGUCCGCCUCUGCUGGAUGGGGUAAAUGACCCUCUUUCACGGGACUGUCCCGUGGCACCCAUCACUCUGGGAUUGUCAUUGACCCCGUGGCCUCCUUUGGCCUAUAAAUGGCCUGGAGUGGUGGUGGGAAUCGUGGCCCUGGUGACAGGGCACACGUGCUGGAGGGGUCUGAAGCUUGUGUCCCGUCCGUGCCCCACAGGGCCAGUGGGGCAGGGCCGGGGCGAGGGAGGUAUGCCGGCUGCCUGGAAACCCUAGGGGUGUGCUGGCAGUAACGACAAUUCUGCUAACAAUAAUAAUGCCCACUGUGUUCUGAGUGCCCCCAGGUGCCAGACACCAGCCACGAGGGGGGCGCUGCUUAACGCCCUGUAGCCUGUCAUUCCCAUUUUACGGGGGAGGAGACAGCCAUGGUGGCAUCCUGACAAGAGAGCCGGCGUUCAGAGUCAGACCCUGAGCCCGAGUCCCUGCUCCACCCCUGACAGGCUGGGUGACCGGGGCCAGUCACUUCCUCUCUCUGAGCCUCAGUUUCCCCAUUUGCAAAAUAGGAAAAUGACAGUUUAAAGGUUGACAUGAGGAUUAAAUGACAUGAUGUGCAGAAAGCGCUCAGCAUGGGGCCAGGCACACAGCAAGUGCUCAAUAAUCAUUAAACGGUGUGCUGGGUAACAGUUUUACAGUAAUUUAAGAAUAAUUCCUUUAAUUGCUCCCGUUUUUUCAGAGGAAGAGUUGAGGUCCAGAGAGGGAAGUGACUUGCCCAAGGUCACCAGCCCAGUGGAGGAGCUGAGCUUUCAACUGGGUGGGCUCUGAGGCCAGUGCUCUCUCUGCCCGCCGUGCCACCAUCACGGCCAGGCCCGGGCUGGCCUGUUUGGGACUCAGUCCUUGUGGGUCAAGAGGAUGCCGGGGGCCUGGCCUGGCAUCAGCCAUGAUCACCCGUUGGGGCGGUUGCAACAUCCCCUCGCUCCGCCAGUCAAUAAAGGGUGCCCAUUGCAAAACUCAGCGGAGAAAUUAAGUGUUGUGUCAUCCUGCGGCCAGGCCCUGGGUGCCCCUUUCCUGCCCGGAGGCCUGGGUGGGGCCAGCUCCUCACUCUCGCCCUCCACGGCGGGCCUUGGAGAGCUGGGGUCGGGGUCAGCAGGGGGCUUCGGGGAGUGGGCAGGGUCCGGACCGCGCUCUGGGUCCACCCACGGCCAACCACUCUCAGGAGGGGCAGGUCCGUCCUCCUGGGUGCUCGGGCCCAGACGCGGGUGAGUCGACUCUUCUCUUGCCCCACAUCCAGGAAUCGGUCAGGAAGUCCUGUCGGCUCUCCCUUUAAGAUACAUCAGAAUCCAGCCAGGGUCCCCUCCACCUGCAACCAGGGGGUCAGAGCACCUUCUGUGGCCUCACGACUCCACCUUCCUCCGCUUGGCCCACUCCCCACGCGCGGCCGAGGGGCCCGUUGCUUCCAGGUGAGGAAACAGGGCUGCAGGGAGCGGUGCCUGGUGGAAGCGGCACGGGAGCUGAGGUUGGCCUGGCCUCGGCCUCAGCCUUGCGUGGGCUCCACCCGCAUCAGAGACCCUUCCUCCAGGAAGACAAGACCGAGCCACUCUGAAGAGGUGCGGCUCUGCUCGCCUCAGCUCAGCCUAACUUACACAUUCUCAGGGACGAUGGGUGGUGUGAUGGGCGGUGUGAUGGGUGCUAAAUUGCCCCCAAGAGGGUGGA
rnacentral:lncRNA from 1 species